CUUGCUGCAAGAAAAUGACUAGUGGCGGACGGGUGAGUAACGCGUGGGUAACCUGCCUCAUACAGGGGGAGUAACAGUUGGAAACGACUGCUAAGACCGCAUAACCCGCUAGUGUCGCAUGACACGGACGGAAAAUAUUUAUAGGUAUGAGAUGGGCCCGCGUCUGAUUAGCUAGUUGGUAAGGUAACGGCUUACCAAGGCGACGAUCAGUAGCCGACUUGAGAGAGUGAUCGGCCACAUUGGGACUGAGACACGGCCCAAACUCCUACGGGAGGCAGCAGUGGGGAAUAUUGGACAAUGGGGGAAACCCUGAUCCAGCGACGCCCGCGUGAGUGAAGAAGUAUUUCGGUAUGUAAAGCUCUAUCAGCAGGGAAGAUAAUGACAGUACCUGACUAAGAAGCCCCGGCUAACUACGUGCCAGCAGCAGC
rnacentral:rRNA from 1 species